rnacentral:lncRNA from 12 species
CAUCAGAAUUGCAUACUACUAUACUGCUCUUACUAAUAAGUAUGCACACUCAAGAAGGCAGAGAUGCAGGACUGUGCUAAUGAAGGGUAAUUAAACUUUCAGACACUUGAGAUGAGUUUUAGUCAUAUUUUUAGAUACGGGUCAGAAAGAAAGUAUAAAACUACUUUUUGCACUACUAGAAAACCACAUUAAUUAAACGGAUAUAUAGAUAAUAUAAAAAUGUGGAUCAAAUAUGGAUUGUCAAACCAGCAUAUUGUAUUUAUUUUUUAUUUAAUUUAUUUUCAUAUUUAAUUAUUUAAUAAAAUAUAAUAUAAAAAUAUAUAAAUAUAUAAAUACAGAUAUCGAUAACAUAUUAAAAUGAUUUUAUAAAUAUUAAUGUGGGGAUAGGCUCCAGCAAUACUGCAAGGACAUACGAUGGAUAUAUAUUUUUUGUAAUAAUUGUAUUAAAUUCCAUUUUAUUAAGUGUCUUAAGUGUCCUAAUACAUUAGAAAGAACAUCAUUUAAUCUUGCGAGUCAAAUAUCACGCUCCAUGUUCUUCUUCAUUCUAAUCCAGUUUGUUCCUGCGUGUGAAGGUUUGGUUCAGGAGUCUCCCGUCGGUUCACGUUCUUCAGGACUCCUGACAUAAUCGCCUGUCACUUUUAUAAACAGGAGGAAAAGUACAUGUCUGUCUAACAAUGACCUGCCGUCCUCCAGCCAGCGAGUUAAUUACCAUCACUGGAAAGACAGCCAGACAACGGUUAACACAUGACUCUGCAGCGUGGAAUUAUGGGAGUGUUGAGCUCUGUUCCAAAACACAAUGA